rnacentral:rRNA from 1 species
UGGGGAAUAUUGGACAAUGGGCGAAAGCCUGAUCCAGCCAUGCCGCGUGUGUGAAGAAGGCCUUUUGGUUGUAAAGCACUUUAAGUGGGGAGGAAAAGCUUAUGGUUAAUACCCAUAAGCCCUGACGUUACCCACAGAAUAAGCACCGGCUAACUCUGUGCCAGCAGCCGCGGUAAUACAGAGGGUGCAAGCGUUAAUCGGAAUUACUGGGCGUAAAGCGCGCGUAGGUGGUUAUUUAAGUCAGAUGUGAAAGCCCCGGGCUUAACCUGGGAACUGCAUCUGAUACUGGAUAGCUAGAGUAGGUGAGAGGGGAGUAGAAUUCCAGGUGUAGCGGUGAAAUGCGUAGAGAUCUGGAGGAAUACCGAUGGCGAAGGCAGCUCCCUGGCAUCAUACUGACACUGAGGUGCGAAAGCGUGGGUAGCAAACAGGAUUAGAUACCCUGGUAGUCCACGCCGUAAACGAUGUCUACCAGUCGUUGGGUCUUUUAAAGACUUAGUGACGCAGUUAACGCAAUAAGUAGACCGCCUGGGGAGUACGGCCGCAAGGUUA